AAGGCCAGCACAAUGUGCAUCCACCUGAGUAGAAAGGUGAGAGGGCAUCUAUGUACCUCAUUAUAAAAAGUUAUUGCAAAGUUACUUAAGGAAUCCCAGUGGAAAAUGAUCAAAACAGAGGGAAAAAUUACUUUUUGAAGAACCAGUGGCUGCAAUAUUUCCAAGUUUGGUGCAAAUCCACAGAACACGAGACCGUAAUGCAACACAAAACAACACAAGAGAGCAAUUGAAUAGUCUCCAUGAGCUUCUUCAACCAUUUGCACAACUUCCUACUUUAUAAUGCCUUGGCUCUGAAUCUUUACUCUCUUCUGAUUUUUCAUCCAUUAAAUUAUGCCUGAA
rnacentral:lncRNA from 1 species